GAUGUAUUCCCUUCGUUCGGAAUUACUUGUUGCAAAAAUGGAUGUAUCUAAAUGUAUUUUACUUCUAGAUACAUCCAUUUUCAAGACAAGUAAUUCCGAACAGAGGAAGUAUAUC
rnacentral:pre_miRNA from 1 species